rnacentral:tRNA from 1 species
GCGCCUAUAGCUCAAUGGAUAGAGCACCGGCCUCCGGAGCCGGUGAUCGAGGUUCGAAUCCUCGUGGGCGCA